UCAGUUGGUCGGGUAGCCGCGCUUCCUUGUAGUAUAAACUACAUAAAAGAUUGAGGUGAGGAAAGUCCGGGCUCCACGGAAACACGACGUCGGAUAACAUCCGGCAAAGGUAACUUUAGGGAUAGUGCCACAGAAAAUAAACCGCCUUUAAAAUUAAAGGUAAGGAUGAAAAGGUGGGGUAAGAGCCCACCGCAUUUUUGGUAACAAAAAUGGCAAGGUAAACCCCGUCGGGAGCAAAACCAAAUAGGGAUGAUGCGGAGAAGUUUAAUGCUUUUUCAGACAUGUUUUCGGUCUAGUCAUCCGGGUAGGUUGCAUGAGACGCCGUGUAAACGUCGUCCUAGAUGAAUGGCUACCACGUUUCGGUUUUUAUCGAAGCCAUACAGAACCCGGCUUAUAGACCAACUGAUUUU
rnacentral:RNase_P_RNA from 2 species